rnacentral:snoRNA from 1 species
AAGCAGGAUUCAGACUACAACAUGGCUGUAAAGUGCUGUGGUGUCAUUCCUCCUGCUCAAAAUAAGCUUUUUUUUUUUUUUUUUUUUGUCUUUUUCAUUUUUAUUGGUACCAGGGAUCGAACUCACAACC